rnacentral:rRNA from 1 species
GUCGGGAAUUUUGCGCAAUGGGCGAAAGCCUGACGCAGCAACGCCGCGUGCGGGAUGAAGGCCUUCGGGUCGUAAACCGCUUUUCUCAGGGACGAUAAUGACGGUACCUGGGGAAUAAGUCACGGCUAACUACGUGCCAGCAGCCGCGGUAAUACGUAGGUGACUAGCGUUGUCCGGAUUUACUGGGCGUAAAGAGCGCGCAGGCGGUCGUGCAAGUCGAGUGUGAAAGCCCCCGGCUCAACUGGGGAGGGUCACUCGAUACUGCUCGACUCGAAGGCGGGAGAGGGAAGUGGAAUUCCCGGUGUAGUGGUGAAAUGCGUAGAUAUCGGGAGGAACACCAGUGGCGAAGGCGACUUCCUGGCCCGUUCUUGACGCUGAGGCGCGAAAGCUAGGGGAGCAAACGGGAUUAGAAACCCUUGUAGUCC